CCUACGGGAGGCAGCAGUGGGGAAUAUUGGACAAUGGGGGCAACCCUGAUCCAGCAAUGCCGCGUGUGUGAAGAAGGCCUUCGGGUUGUAAAGCACUUUUAUCAGGAAAGAAAUCCCACGGGUUAAUAGCCUGCUGGGGAUGACGGUACCUGAGGAAUAAGCACCGGCUAACUUCGUGCCAGCAGCCGCGGUAAUAAGGGCGAUCC
rnacentral:rRNA from 1 species